GCCCGGGUGGCUCAGUCAGUUAAGCGUCCGAUUUUGGUUCAGGUCUCAUGGCUCGUGGGUUCAAACCCCACGUUGGGCU
rnacentral:tRNA from 1 species